rfam:Gossypium raimondii Chr11_contig_33, whole genome shotgun sequence.
GGUUGAGUUUUUUUUAUUUAUUUCUACUGUUAAAAAUUGGCGUGGCUAACGGAAUAACCAAACAAUUAUACCUGGCAUGCCACGUGUAUCUCAUGUCAAUGUACAGUGAUACAUUUUUAAUAGUAGAAAUGAGUGAAAAUUUUAAUA